rnacentral:misc_RNA from 1 species
GAAAUGCGAUAAGUAAUGUGAAUUGCAGAAUUCAGUGAAUCAUCGAAUCUUUGAACGCACAUUGCGCCCGCCAGUAUGCUGGCGGGCAUGCCUGUUCGAGCGUCAUUUCAACCAUCAAGCCCCCGGCUUGUGUUGGGGACCUGCGGCUGCCCGCAGGCCCUGAAAAACAGUGGCGGGCUCGCUGUCACACCGAGCGUAGUAGCAUACAUUCUCGCUCAGGGCGUGCUGCGGGUUCCGGCCGUUAAACGACCUUCAUAACCCAAGGUUGACCUCGGAUCAGGUAGGAAGACCCGCUGAACUUAAGC